rnacentral:rRNA from 1 species
AUUGAACGCUGGCGGAAUGCUUUACACAUGCAAGUCGAACGGCAGCACGGGGGCAACCCUGGUGGCGAGUGGCGAACGGGUGAGUAAUACAUCGGAACGUGCCCAGUCGUGGGGGAUAACGUAGCGAAAGCUACGCUAAUACCGCAUACGAUCUCUGGAUGAAAGCGGGGGACCGCAAGGCCUCGCGCGAUUGGAGCGGCCGAUGGCAGAUUAGGUAGUUGGUGGGGUAAAGGCCUACCAAGCCGACGAUCUGUAGCUGGUCUGAGAGGACGACCAGCCACACUGGGACUGAGACACGGCCCAGACUCCUACGGGAGGCAGCAGUGGGGAAUUUUGGACAAUGGGCGCAAGCCUGAUCCAGCCAUUCCGCGUGCAGGAUGAAGGCCCUCGGGUUGUAAACUGCUUUUGUACGGAACGAAAAGGCGCGGGUUAAUACCCUGUGCCGAUGACGGUACCGUAAGAAUAAGCACCGGCUAACUACGUGCCAGCAGCCGCCGUAAGAC